rnacentral:rRNA from 1 species
CAGUCGCCGCGGUAACACAGAGGAUGCAAACGUUAUCCAGAAUGAUUGGGCGUAAAGCGUCUGUAGGUGGCUUUUCAAGUCCGCCGUCAAAUCCCAGGGCUCAACCCUGGACAGGCGGUGGAAACUACCAAGCUGGAGUACGGUAGGAGCAGAGGGAAUUUCCGGUGGAGCGGUGAAAUGCGUUGAGAUCGGAGAGAACACCAACGGCGAAAGCACUCUGUUGGGCCAACACUGACACUGAGAGACGAAAGCUAGGGGAGAAAAUGGGAUUAGAUACCCCUGUAGUCCCUGUCUCUUAUAC